GAUGAACGCUGGCGGCGUGCCUAAUACAUGCAAGUCGAGCGAACGGACGAGAAGCUUGCUUCUCUGAUGUUAGCGGCGGACGGGUGAGUAACACGUGGAUAACCUACCUAUAAGACUGGGAUAACUUCGGGAAACCGGAGCUAAUACCGUAUAAUAUUUUGAACCGCAUGGUUCAAAAGUGAAAGACGGUCUUGCUGUCACUUAUAGAUGGAUCUGCGCUGCAUUAGGUAGUUGGUAAGGUAACGGCUUACCAAGGCAACGAUGCAUAGCCGACCUGAGAGGGUGAUCGGCCACACUGGAACUUAAACACGGUCCAUACUCCUACGGUAGGCAGCAGUAGGGAAUCUUCCGCAAUAGUCGAAAACAUUACACAACAACGCCACGUGAGUUAUGAAGAUCUUCCGAUCGUAAAACUCUGUUAUUAGGUAAGAACAUAUUUCUAAUUAACUGUACACAUAUUGACGGUACCUAAUCAAAAAGCCACGGCUAACUACGUG
rnacentral:rRNA from 1 species